rnacentral:lncRNA from 10 species
AAUAAAUAAAAAUUAAAAAGAGAAAAGACUAUGGGGUUCACUUUACAGGGUAGGAAACUGAGACUCAGAGAUGGGAAUGGCUUUGAAGUUUGUUAGUAACAGAUGGUAUGCCAGCACCCAGAUUGCCUACCCCUAGGUCCUGAUUUUCCCCUCUCUUCCAUUCUGGGGGAACUGCAUUUAUAAAAAGUUUAACAUUAGUAGUGAUAAGAACAACAAAAUCAAUAUGACUGGCAGCUAACUUGUUUUGAGCAUCGGUUCUGGUCUGGCACAGUGCUCACCAUUUUACAUAGCAUGGAGUCGGUAUGGGUCAGUUUCCCAAAUGUGCUUUUUUAAAGAACUGGAAACCCAGAGGCAUUUGAAAUAUGUGUCUUUUGAAUCAAAGAAACAUAGAGGAUUUGAAGAUGGAGGAGACCGCAUUUUAUUUUAUGGCCCUGGAUAAAGUCACUACGCCUAUCCCUCUGAGACUCAGUUAUCCCCAUCUGUAAAAUGGGUGGUUGGAUGAAAUGAACACUCGAGGUCUUCUCAGAGCUGACAUUCUACAGAUUCAUCAGUGAGUUUCCUCUGACUCUCCUUGAAUGUGACUUUGUCCAUUCGGAGGGCGGUCCUGGCAUCAGCAAGGGUGACGAUUGUUUCCUUCCUGGAAUCUUUGGAUUGCCAUGAGAGCGAGGAGCCACUCAGCAACAUGAGGAAGCCACAUGUGCCACAUUCUUCAAUGGCAGCAAUUUUCCGUGUAAUUAAGUUUAUUUAUCAUGUAUAUUAAGGGGAAAAUGGAGACGCAUGAUCAUCACAGCCCAUUUGCCAUCGACAUCCAUCUCUCAAGCGUUGCUUCUGUUUUCUCCAAGGCCAACAGCCAUGAUGGAUGUGGGGCCCAGGAGAGCCAUCUGGCACGAGGACUGGUGGGAACCCAGCCCCCUACAGGACCCAGGUCUCACCCCCUGGACAGAUGCUUCUCCCAAAACCGUCCCUGUCCUCAAGGAGCUGAUAACCCAGGAAUCGUGGUUAAUGGUGACAUUGGCUAACACUGGAUGUUGCUUUCCUUUAAACCUGCAGUUAGCUUUCUUCCAGCAGAAUGCUGAGAUAUUACUCCUGUGUUCACAUGUGGAAAUGCAGCAUGGCUGCACCAUUUCACCAUUUCUACCACUCUAAUCAUUGUAGCUUCCUCUUGCUCUCUUUUUAAGCUAAGCCUUAGCCUGGCUUCUUGUACCUAUAGGGAGUUCAAUUCAUUUACCAAUUCACUCAACAAAUAUUUGAGUGCUUCUCUGGUGGAAGACUACCAUUCCAGGCUUUUGGGAUUUAUCAGUGAACGGAAGAAAGACUUUCGGCCUCCUCAAGCUUACUUGGUGAAUAUUUUGGAAUCAAAAAAUGAAUAAAGGAGCAAGAACAUACGAAUCACUUCAGUUAUUCAACAAACAUUGAGUGCUUCCUGUGGACAGCACCUUGCUGAUCACACGUGGCUAAAAUGGGGCCCAAGCAGCUUCUUCUGUUUCCUCAUGGAGCUUACAUGCUAGAGGAGAAGGAAGACGUAAAUCAAAGAAUCACACCAAUGAGUUUCUAAGUACAAAAUGAGAUAAAGCACUAUGAGGGAAAGGGUGUUUUUCAGAGUAUAUGAGAAGUGCGUGUUCUAUACUGGGGGUGGGGAUUCAGGAAAACUUUUGGAGGGAGAGAUACUUAAACUGAAACCUGAGGCAAGGGUUUUCAUCAAGUGAGAGAAGGAAGUGCAGGGGCAUGGGGUAGAGGAAUAGCAUGAGGGCUCUAUCCGUUAGGAUGCCUUAGGCUGUCAGUGUCUGAAGACCUAACUCAAAAUGGUUUAAACCAUAAAGACAAUUUGUUACCAUGUCAUAAGAAGUCAGAAGUAGGUGCCAGGCGCGGUUGCUCACGCCUGUAAUCCCAGCACUUUGGGAGGCUGAGGCGGGCGGAUCAUGAGGUCAGGAGAUCAAGACCAUCCUGGCUAACACGGUGAAACCCAGUCUCUACAAAAAAAUACAAAAACAAAAUUAGCCAGGCGUGGUGGCGGAUGCCUGUAUUCCCAGCUACUCAGGAGGCUGAGGCAGGAGAAUGGCGUGAACUGGGGAGGCAGAGCUUGCAGUGAUCCAAGAUCACACCACUGCACUCCAGCCUGGGUG